UACAGAGGGUGCGAGCGUUAUCCGGAAUCACUGGGCGUAAAGCGUCUGUAGGUGGUUCGAAAAGUCCACUGUUAAAAAUUGAGGCUUAACUUCAAAGAUGCCGUGGAAACUUUCAAACUAGAGUAUGGUAGGGGUAGAGGGAAUUUCCAGUGGAGCGGUGAAAUGCGUAGAUAUUGGAAAGACCACCGAUGGCGAAGGCACUCUACUGGGCCACUACUGACAGCUGAGAGACGAAAGCUAGGGGAGCAAAUGGG
rnacentral:rRNA from 1 species